AAACUCAGAAAUAAUUUUGUCCUAGACUACUAACAGAACAGAGGCAUCAGAUAUUGGUGGUACAUAGAUUUAUUAAUGGCCCAACCGGAAGCAGAACAUCAUGGCCAAAAGGAUGCAGUAGAGGAAAUCAGCUCAUCUCAUUGUGGCCAAGAAGAAGGGGUUGCAACUGGUGCAGAAUUGAGACCACUGUACAGAAGAUAAGUGCCACUCAUCUUGCAGGCCACCACUGUUCAAUCUCAGGAUGGAGAUGCUAUUUGGCAAAGCAUCAUG